rnacentral:rRNA from 1 species
GAUCCUGGCUCAGGAUGAACGCUGGCGGCGUGCUUAACACAUGCAAGUCGAACGAAGAUGCCGGAGUGCUUGCACUUUGGCAGACUGAGUGGCGGACGGGUGAGUAACGCGUGGGUAACCUGCCUUAUACAGGGGGAUAACAGUUGGAAACGACUGCUAAUACCGCAUAAGCGCACGGUAUCGCAUGAUACAGUGUGAAAAACUCCGGUGGUAUAAGAUGGACCCGCGUCUGAUUAGCUUGUUGGUGAGGUAACGGCCCACCAAGGCGACGAUCAGUAGCCGGCCUGAGAGGGUGAACGGCCACAUUGGGACUGAGACACGGCCCAAACUCCUACGGGAGGCAGCAGUGGGGAAUAUUGCACAAUGGGGGAAACCCUGAUGCAGCGACGCCGCGUGAGUGAUGAAGUAUUUCGGUAUGUAAAACUCUAUCAGCAGGGAAGAUAAUGACGGUACCUGACUAAGAAGCACCGGCUAAAUACGUG